CAAUAGCGUAUAUUGAAGUUGUUGCAGUUAAAAAGCUCGUAGUUGGAUUUCGGGACGGGCCAGUUGGUCCGCCGCAAGGUGUGUUACUGACUGGUCUGUUCUUCUUCGCAAAGACUGCGUGUGCUCUUCGUUGAGUGUGCGUAGGAUUUACGACGUUUACUUUGAAAAAAUUAGAGUGUUCAAAGCAGGCUAUCGCUUGAAUACAUGAGCAUGGAAUAAUGGAAUAGGACUUUGGUCCUAUUUUGUUGGUUUCUAGGACCGAAGUAAUGAUUAAGAGGGACAAUUGGGGGCAUCCGUAUUUCGUUGUCAGAGGUGAAAUUCUUGGAUUUACGAAAGACGAACAACUGCGAAAGCACUUGCCAAGAGUGUUUUCAUUAA
rnacentral:rRNA from 1 species